rnacentral:rRNA from 1 species
UUAAGUUGCAGGGUAUAGACCCGAAACCCGGUGAUCUAGCCAUGGGCAGGUUGAAGGUUGGGUAACACUAACUGGAGGACCGAACCGACUAAUGUUGAAAAAUUAGCGGAUGACUUGUGGCUGGGGGUGAAAGGCCAAUCAAACCGGGAGAUAGCUGGUUCUCCCCGAAAGCUAUUUAGGUAGCGCCUCGUGAAUUCAUCUCCGGGGGUAGAGCACUGUUUCGGCAAGGGGGUCAUCCCGACUUACCAACCCGAUGCAAACUGCGAAUACCGGAGAAUGUUAUCACGGGAGACACACGGCGGGUGCUAACGUCCGUCGUGAAGAGGGAAACAACCCAGACCGCCAGCUAAGGUCCCAAAGUCAUGGUUAAGUGGGAAACGAUGUGGGAAGGCCCAGACAGCCAGGAUGUUGGCUUAGAAGCAGCCAUCAUUUAAAGAAAGCGUAAUAGCUCACUGGUCGAGUCGGCCUGCGCGGAAGAUGUAACGGGGCUAAACCAUGCACCGAAGCUGCGGCAGCGACACUAUGUGUUGUUGGGUAGGGGAGCGUUCUGUAAGCCUGUGAAGGUGUACUGUGAGGUAUGCUGGAGGUAUCAGAAGUGCGAA